rnacentral:rRNA from 1 species
CCUACGGGUUGCAGCAGUGGGGAAUAUUGCACAAUGGGCGCAAGCCUGAUGCAGCCAUGCCGCGUGUAUGAAGAAGGCCUUCGGGUUGUAAAGUACUUUCAGCGGGGAGGAAGGUGUUGUGGUUAAUAGCCACGGCAAUUGACGUUACCCGCAGAAGAAGCACCGGCUAACUCCGUGCCAGCAGCCGCGGUAAUACGGAGGGUGCAAGCGUUAAUCGGAAUUACUGGGCGUAAAGCGCACGCAGGCGGUCUGUCAAGUCGGAUGUGAAAUCCCCGGGCUCAACCUGGGAACUGCAUUCGAAACUGGCAGGCUAGAGUCUUGUAGAGGGGGGUAGAAUUCCAGGUGUAGCGGUGAAAUGCGUAGAGAUCUGGAGGAAUACCGGUGACGAAGGCGGCCCCCCUGACAAAGACUGACGCUCAGGUGCGAAAGCGUGGGGAGCAAACAGGAUUAGAUACCCGCGUAGUC